UUGGGUCUGAUUACUGUUUGCGUAUCGAAGCUGUAAGCGUCACCAAUAUCAGUUCUUUUGUAAGUGGAUAGAAGGACUUGCGUCACACUUCCACCGUAAGUGGUUUUUGGGUGAUAUCAGUUCCUUUGUAAGUAUGGCCAAUCACAAAUGUUCUUUUCCGAGUUAUUAGUC